UCGGGAGAGGGCCACCGAUAGGGAGUCUUCCGCAAUGGACGAAAGUCUGACGGAGCAACGCCGCGUGAGUGAUGAAGGUUUUCGGAUCGUAAAGCUCUGUUGUUAGGGAAGAACAAGUACCGUUCGAAUAGGGCGGUACCUUGACGGUACCUAACCAGAAAGCCACGGCUAACUACGUGCCAGCAGCCGCGGUAAUACGUAGGUGGCAAGCGUUGUCCGGAAUUAUUGGGCGUAAAGGGCUCGCAGGCGGUUUCUUAAGUCUGAUGUGAAAGCCCCCGGCUCAACCGGGGAGGGUCAUUGGAAACUGGGGAACUUGAGUGCAGAAGAGGAGAGUGGAAUUCCCACGGGAAGCGGUGAAAUGCGUAGAGAUGUGGAGGAACACCAGUGGCGAAGGCGACUCUCUGGUCUGUAACUGACGCUGAGGAGCGAAAGCGUGGGGAGCGAACAGGAUUAGAUACCCUGGUAGUCCACGCCGUAAACGAUGAGUGCUAAGUGUUAGGGGGUUCCGCCCUUAGUGCCAACCCCC
rnacentral:rRNA from 1 species